rnacentral:misc_RNA from 1 species
CACAUAGAGAUUCUCUCUGCCUUACUCAUCAACCCUCCACUUUCUUCAUUCCAUCUAACUGCUAUCCUUAAACCAUCAACCAUGACACAAUAAAGUGGGAUUGUCCAACGAAAAAUUGCCGUCAAAUCUCUAAUGGGUUUCCUCUUCAUCUUCUUCAAAUCCUUAUCAGAAAAUAAGCCUUUCCCACGUUCUUGUUUUUAUCACUUUAUAUGUUUCCUAUAUUUUAUGCUUACUCUUCCAUUUUUUAGCAUUACACCAGCUCAAGCCAGCCGUUGCAGAACCUAUUGUGGCACCAUUCCAAUAAACUACCCUUUUGGUAUUGAUGAUGGCUGUGGCAGUCCUUAUUACAAGCACAUACUUGUUUGCUCUGAUUCAGGUAAUCUCGAGCUUCGAACUCCUUCUGGGAGAUACCAAGUACACAGCAUCAGCUACUCUGAUCCCCAUAUCAUAGUUGCUGAUCCAUUCAUGUGGAAUUGUCAAGAUGGCAAUCACUUCAGGGCAACUAGGCCUUUUAGCCUUGAUACAAGCACACAUUUCACACUCUCCUCUCAAAACGACUAUCUCUUCUUUAACUGUAGUGAGAAGAACGUGAUCGUUCGGCCCAAGCCUAUGUUCUGCGAGCGGUUUCCUGAUCAGUGUGAUUCCACAUGUGAUAGUGCAAGUUAUCUUUGCAGGCACCUGCCUGGAUGUGCUACUGCUUUGGGUGGCAGUUCUUGCUGCUCUUACUACCCCAAAGCAACAGAAUCUUUGAGGCUUAUGCUCAAGUAUUGUGCUAGUUACACGAGCAUUUAUUGGAGAAAUGGUGCAAAUUCUCCUUAUGAUCAAGUCGCUGAGUAUGGGAUUAGGAUCGAUUUUGACAUUCCAGUGACUACCCAUUGCCUUGAGUGUCAAGACAUGAUGAAAGGAGGCGGAACUUGUGGAUUUGACAUACAGUCACAGAAUUUCAUGUGUCUAUGUAACGACAGAAAUGUCACCAGUUAUUGCAAAGAUCAUGGCACUUCUAGGCAGCAUAGCAGGGCAGGGGUCAUUGCAGGUCAAAUAUAUACUGACAUUUGAAUUCUGCUUGCAUAAUUUGAAUAAUAAUUAUUUUACUGGAAGCUUAAGGUUAAUUUUGAUGUGUUGUUAUUGAGUCAGGGACUGUUACUGGAGUUUCAGCUGCUGGGGCCUUGGGAGUUGGUGCUGGCAUAUGGUAUUGGAAAAAAGUGAGAGCUAAAGCACCAGUAACAUGUGGGGUUCAGAGCACUGAGAACAGGCUCUUCUGAUGAAACCCAUCAACUAAAGCAAACACCAUGUACUUUUCUUUUCCCCCUUCUUUUUCUUUUCUCAUUUUUUGAAUUGCUUUUUUUGUUGUUUAUUCAACAAGCCUCCUUCAUUAGUUAAUUAUGUUUCUUUGUUUACACGUUUAACUUGAUUCAAUGCUUGAUUAGAGAGCCCAAGAUCAGUCUCCAUGGGAGACAUUUUUCAUUAAUUGGAAUAGUAGCUUGUGAUGGUUAAUUUCUACUUUGUUUCUCAUAAUCUGCUAUGAAAUUAAUUAUAAAACUAUUAUAUGAUACAAAUUUCAGUAAUAUUAACUCUCAAUUGGUACAUUGUGAUAUGUGCUUCCCAGAAUCUAGCACCUUAUCCCAGGAAAAUGGAAGGGGAAAAAAAAGAUCAAUAAUGUUUAAUAAUAAUUAUAUAUCAUCCGCAUGAUUUACCAAUCAAACAGCUUAAAGGACCAGCAUCGGAUGUUAAAGCAGGAACCAUUGAUCCAGGAGCAACUGGAAAUGAUUGAGUUCGAAAAUAAGGUGGUGCAAUACUUCCAUAUCCGGAUUGCACAAAAUAAGCACCAUUCAUGAAUACAUCCUUAGAGGAUCUCCAUUUCCAAUUCUUCCAACCACUGUUGGCCUCUCUCUUAGUAACCUGGCCACCCAAGAAAUAGCAAUAAAUUAAUUUUUUUGUAUAAUAGAGAGGGGAAAAAGGAAAACUUCUACCUGCUUGGAAAAAGGAUUAUCAGGAGCUAUAAAGUAGUUCCCUUCACUAAAGAUGGUUGGAUUAGCACUGCCGCCAAUUGCAUACAUUUGCCAUUCAUCAUAUCUAUUGUUGGCAACAUGGGCAUAGCCAAAUCUGACCCUACAAUUAGAACAUAUGAGAUUCAGUAUUCACAUGAAUCAAUUAUUCAAGUAGGGUAACCUGCAAUUGAAGAUGGCAUUUCUGGCCCAAUCCAAAACUAUUUGUAAAUCAAUA